rnacentral:rRNA from 1 species
GGAAGUAAAAGUCGUAACAAGGUUUCCGUAGGUGAACCUGCGGAAGGAUCAUUCACACAUUCAAUUCACAUAACGUGAACCAGUCAGACCGUAACAAGUCUGGCUAUCAACAUUUGUUGGGUUAAUUAUCAAGACUUACCUAAGCAUUAUUAACUAUCAGCGAUGGAUGUCUUGGCUCCCACAACGAUGAAGGCCGCAGCAAAAUGCGAUAAUCAUUGUGAAUUGCAGACUUCUUAGAAUCAACAGAACGCUGAACGCAUACGGCACCGUACUUGUACGGUAGGUCUGUUUCAGAGUCACUUUCGAUCUUCCCAAAACUCUUCUUUGGAGAGCGGACGGAAGGCAAGGUACUGCUCGUCUAUUUUACUAUGGGUUGGCAGUCGCAUUGUUCUAUGGCUACUCGUUUUCAACAUAUUCGACUCGCUCGGUUGUUGCAUAUACGGGUAAUAUAGCUAUAGCUUACAACUUAUAUGACCUGAAAUCAGACCAGGCUACCCGCUGGGCUUAAGCAUAUUAGUCAGCGGAGGA